UAUCUUCUAGAGUAUACGCCAAGCUCUUAUCUUGAACCUACAGUUUAAAAACGGGAGUUCAAUAUAUAAAUAUGGAUAUGGAUUUCUUAUGUUUUAAGAAAAGAUAGAAGUAUUUUUGCGAGCACCCACCUAUCAUUAGAUAGGUGUCAAUGAAAGAGCAGCGGUAUUUUGGAUAUAU
rnacentral:other from 3 species